rnacentral:rRNA from 1 species
UACGUAGGAGGCAAGCGUUGUCCGGAUUUACUGGGCGUAAAGAGCGUGUAGGCGGUUCGUACAGUCCGCUGUGAAAUCUCCAGGCUCAACCUGGAGUAGUCGGUGGAAACUAGGCGACUUGAAUCUGGCAGAGGGGGGUGGAAUGCCACGUGUAGCAGUGAAAUGCGUAGAGAUGUGGCGGAACACCGAUGGCGAAGGCAGCCCCCUGGGUUGAGAUUGACGCUCAGGCACGAAAGCGUGGGGAGCAAACAGG